UACGAAGGGGGCUAGCGUUGUUCGGAUUUACUGGGCGUAAAGCGCACGUAGGCGGAUCGUUAAGUCGGGGGUGAAAUCCUGGAGCUCAACUCCAGAACUGCCUUCGAUACUGGCGAUCUUGAGUCCGGAAGAGGUGAGUGGAACUCCUAGUGUAGAGGUGGAAUUCGUAGAUAUUAGGAAGAACACCAGUGGCGAAGGCGGCUCACUGGUCGGUACUGACGCUGAGGUGCGAAAGGCGUGGGGAGCAAACAGG
rnacentral:rRNA from 1 species